rnacentral:siRNA from 1 species
UAUGCUUUAAAAACGAUUGUAAA